UGGAGAAUAUUGCACAAUGGAGGGAACUCUGAUGCAGCGACGCCGCGUGAACGAAGAAGGCUUUCGAGUCGUAAAGUUCUUUUAUAUGGGAAGAUAAUGACGGUACCAUAAGAAGAAGCCCCGGCUAACUACGUGCCAGCAGCCGCGGUAAUACGUAGGGGGCUAGCGUUGUCCGGAAUCACUGGGCGUAAAGGGUUCGCAGGCGGAAAUGCAAGUCAGGUGUAAAAGGCAGUAGCUUAACUACUGUAAGCAUUUGAAACUGCAUAUCUUGAGAAGAGUAGAGGUAAGUGGAAUUUUUAGUGUAGCGGUGAAAUGCGUAGAUAUUAAAAAGAAUACCGGUGGCGAAGGCGACUUACUGGGCUCAUUCUGACGCUGAGGAACGAAAGCGUGGGUAGCAAACAGG
rnacentral:rRNA from 1 species